UUGUCGAGAAAAGCUCCUUUUCGUUUCCCUAGGUGCCCGUACCGUAAACCGACACAGGUGGGUGGGUCGAGUAGACCAAGGCGCGCGAGAGAAACCUCUCUAAGGAACUCGGCAAAAUAGCCCCGUAACUUCGGGAGAAGGGGUACCCACUUCGGUGGGUCACAGUAAAUUGGGUUUAGCGACUGUUUAACAAAAACACAGCACUCUGCCAAGUUGUGAAAACAACGUAUAGGGUGUGACACGUGACCAAUGCGGAAAGAUCAAGGUGACUUGUUAGCCGCAAGGCGAAGCUCGGAGCCAAAGUCCCCGUGAAUGUCGGCCGUAACUAUAACGGUCCUAAGGUAGCGAAAUUCCUUGUCGGGUAAGUUCCGACCUGCACGAAUCGUGUAACGACUGAACCGCUGUCUCGGAGAGGAUCUCGGCGAAAUUGUAACGGCGGUGAAGAUGCCGCCUGCCCGCAGUAGGACGGAAAGACCCUAUGCACCUUUACUGUAAGCUGGUAUUGUGUUCUGAUUAAUGAUGCGUAGCGUAGGUGGGAGACUUUGAAGCCAUGGUUUCGGUUGUGGCUGAGUCGCAAUGUGAAACACCACUCUUUGUUAAUUAGGAUUCUAACCCUAUGCUGUUAGCCAGCUAGGGGACAGUGCCUGCGGGUCAGUUUGACUGGGGCGGUUUCCUCCCAAAGGGUAACGGAGGAGCGCUAAGGUACUCUCAGCAUGGUUUGCAACCAUGCGUCGAGCGUAUGGGUAGAAGAGUGCUUAACUGCGAGACCAACAAGUCGAGCAGAUACGAAAGUAGGCCCAAAUGAUCCGAUGGUUGAAUAUGGAAUUGCCAUCGCUCAACGGACAAAAGGUACGCUAGGGAUAACAGGCUGAUCGGAUCCAAGAGUUCAUAUCGACGAUCCGGUUUGGCACCUCGAUGUCGGCUCAUCGCAUCCUGGGGCUGGAGAAGGUCCCAAGGGUCCGGCUGUUCGCCGGUUAAAGCGGUACGCGAGCUGGGUUCAGAACGUCGUGAGACAGUUCGGUCCUUAUCCACUGUGGGCGCAGGAAACUUGAGGGGUUCAUUCUCUAGUACGAGAGGACCGAGAAUGACGCACUUCUGGUGUGGCAGUUGUUCCGUCAGGGGCAGCGCUGCGUAGCCAUGUGCGGAAGAGAUAAGCGCUGAAAGCAUCUAAGUGCCAAGCUCAUCCCAAGAUAUUGUUUCCCGGACGCAAGUCCCUAAAGACUCCAUGUAGACCACGUGGUUGAUAGGUCAGGCGUGUAAGUGCCGCAAGGUACUCAGCGGACUGAUACUAAUUAGUCGUGCGGCUUGAUCGC
rnacentral:rRNA from 1 species